rnacentral:rRNA from 1 species
UCCGGUUGAUCCCGCCGGAGGUUACUGCUAUCGAGGUUCGACUAAGCCAUGCAAGUUGAAUGUCGCAAGACAUAGCGUACUGCUCAGUAACACGUGGAUAACCUACCCUUGGGUCGGGGAUAAACCCGGGAAACUGGGUAUAAUACCCGAUAAUUCUCGGAUGCUGGAAUGCACCGAGAUCGAAAGCUCCGGCACCCAUGGAUGGGUCUGCGGCCUAUCAGGUAGUAGUGGGUGUAACGGACCUACUAGCCUACAACGGGUACGGGUUGUGAGAGCAAGAGCCCGGAGAUGGAUUCUGAGACACGAAUCCAGGCCCUACGGGGUGCAGCAGGCGCGAAACCUUUACAAUGCUGGAAACAGCGAUAGGGGGACCUCGAGUGCCAUCGUACAACGGUGGCUGUCGUUAUGCCUAAAAAGCAUGAUAUAGCAAGGGCCGGGCAAGACCGGUGCCAGCCGCCGCGGUAACACCGGCGGCUCGAGUGGUAACCGUUAUUAUUGGGUUUAAAGGGUCUGUAGCCGGCCGGAUUAGUCUCUUGGGAAAUCUGGCAGCUCAACUGUCAGGCUUUCAGGAGAUACUGUUCGGCUCGAGACCGGGAGAGGUGAGAGGUACUUCAGGGGUAGGGGUGAAAUCUUGUAAUCCUUGAAGGACCACCAGUGGCGAAAGCGUCUCACCAGAACGGAUCUGACGGCAAGGGACGAAAGCUAGGGGCACGAACCGGAUUAGAUACCCGGGUAGUCCUAGCCGUAAACAAUACUCGCUAGGUGUCGGCCACGGUGCGACCGUGGUCGGUGCCGUAGGGAAACCGUGAAGCGAGCCACCUGGGAAGUACGGCCGCAAGGCUGAAACUUAAAGGAAUUGGCGGGGGAGCACCACAACGGGUGGAGCUUGCGGUUUAAUUGGAUUCAACGCCGGGAAGCUUACCGCCAGCGGCCGCGAAUUGAUUUUCCGGUUGAAGUCCCUGCCGGAUUAGCUUCGAGGUUCGACUAAGCCAUCGCAAGUUCGUAAUGUGAAGCAUAGCGUACUGUCAGUAAACGUGCGAAACCUA